rnacentral:rRNA from 1 species
AUUGAACGCUGGCGGUAGGCCUAACACAUGCAAGUCGAGCGCGAAAGUGCCUUCGGGUGCGAGUAGAGCGGCGGACGGGUGCGUAACGCGUAGGAAUCUGCCUGGUAGUGGGGGAUAACUCGGGGAAACUCGAGCUAAUACCGCAUACGCCCCAUGGGGGAAAGGCGGGGGACCGUUCGGGCCUCGCGCUAUCAGAUGAGCCUGCGUCGGAUUAGCUAGUUGGUAGGGUAAUGGCCUACCAAGGCGACGAUCCGUAGCUGGUCUGAGAGGAUGAUCAGCCACACUGGGACUGAGACACGGCCCAGACUCCUACGGGAGGCAGCAGUGGGGAAUAUUGGACAAAUGGGGGGCAACCCUGAUCCAGCCAUACCGCGUGUGUGAAGAAGGCCUUAGGGUUGUAAAGCACUUUCAGUGGGGAGGAAAAAGUUGCCGGCGAAUACCCGGCGACCGUGACGCUACCUGCAGAAGAAGCACCCGGCAAAACUCCGUGCCAGCAGCCGC